rnacentral:misc_RNA from 1 species
AUUUUUUGGUAAUGAAAUGAUUUCUUUAGAAUUUUUGAGGACAAACUAUUAUUUAUAUUAAACAUUAAACAUUAAACGAUCCUCAGGGUGCGGUCGGGACUAGGGAGUAAUACCUAAAAAUAUGUAGAGCUCUUUUGCCUUUUUUUUGUACAUUUUACAAUGCAUAUACUUACGGCAUGUACAGUACGGUUUCAUAGCGGGGUAUAAUUUUCUUAAGUAUGUUUAUAAAUAUAUUGUAAUUUUGUCCUUCCCAGGAGUAUUUAUCAUUUAUCCUCCACGUGCACUGUAGCUCUAUACACUACAGUUGUAAUAUAAUUUGUACCUUUGCACACUUUAAAUUAAUUUGCUUUGAUCUCUGUUAUUAUAACUUACAAAUUUAAUUAGUUGCUCAGUUUUCUGUAAUCCCUGUAUUGUAUAUAUUUAUAAAUGAACUAUUUUCCACAUAUAUUAUGAAUUUACAUGAAUUUUUAUUUUCAGAAAACAUGAGUCAGGUUUACAAGACAUGAUUGAACCUUGCUAGUAUGCUAAGUCCAGCCUUGAGCCCAGUAUGAUUCCUGUUCUUCUCGUCCUUCUCCUCCCCGCCUGUCUUCUAGCAAGCUACAGACAGUUCGGGUUCCAAAACCAUGAUCUUUGCUCCGAGGAGGAGAAAGGAAAGAGUUUACAGCUCGGAGCAGGAGCAGCUCUUCUAUCUCUGGAUGGAUUCGGAGCUAUGGAAACCUUUCUCAAGUGUAGUGUCAAAAUAGAGGCAGAUGAGGGAUUGGGACUUAUGGUUUACGUGGAGGAGAUGCAUUUGAGGAUUGAUGAGAGGCCUGGAGUACUCCAGGAGAAAUCUUGUAUCGACUAUGUACAGUUCGGUAGAGACGAUCUUAUUCCUUUCUUUACGAUCAGUAAGUCGGAGAAGCUUUGCGGAAACCGAACCGGAUUUGUUUACGAUGAACCCGGAGGAAAACUGUUGGUUUGGCUAAACAUAGGCCCGGGCCGUGCAAACAAUUAUAGAGAGUCUGCUCAGAACGAUCGUCUCACGGUCGUUGUCACAGCGUACAAGCAUCUUGCCAAAGAGGAGUCGACAAACUUCAGAUUAUGUAGUGUAGGGAGUAAGGCAAUACGUAAAGAAUAUUUUUGUGACCAAAGAAUAAAUUGUGCCUUGGAUAAAAUACCCGGUGACGAACGACCGGAGAUCUGUCGGCACAAUCGAGGUUCAGCGCAGGACGGAGAAUAUGAUAACCCUACCGGUGAUUGGAACCCACCCCUGAACCUAGUGAGUAUAACUCUAGUCCUUGUCUCCGGAGUAGUUCUCCUGGUUCUCAUUCUUCUCCUUGCUGCUCGGAUGCGUAGAUCAGGCUGGUUCUGCUUCCGGAGACCGCUUAUUAUUGAUUGCGAGCUGCCGGAGCGAGCUGUCGGAGUAACAAGAGCUGCCGCAGGACAUAGAGCCGGAGCAGGGUUGGUGAGAGUUAUGAAUUCCGGAGAACAAGAGAACCUGUUCCGACCCGCGUACCUUGAACCACGCCAGGAUCCGGGUUUCAUCUUACCUAGAGGAACCACACCCGAGGCAGAACCACCUCCAGCAUAUCAUGAUCUGUUUCCGGCCGGAUAUAAAUUCGACCCGGAGAAAGUGCCGGAAACUAGUCAGAACCUUCUGUCCUCUAAACCAGAGGAAUCCAUUGAACUCCAGGACCUGCAGGCGGUUCCGGAGUACGGAGAACUUCAAACAGCUCCGGUUGAACCAACCCCUACUUCGGGUGGAUCAGGAUAGUGUUGAUAGUUAUCAAUCUUUCAUCUUCACACUCCCAUUUUUCAUCCUUACUCCAGUGACCAAUUCGUCCGACUUGACCUAUCCCCUCUUAAAAUGUAGGGUCGACCAUGUCGACCGUUAUUAGUUCACAAUCUGUCAGAUCACCGAGUAACAAUUAGUCAGAAGUUCACAAAACUAUAUUUUUACAUUUCAUGCUCAUUGAACAAUGUUCUCUCUUUCAAGUUCACAAGUGGGGUUUUCCUCUCAAUAUUUUUCACAAGUUUAGAGAAGAUUAAAAUUUUAGUUUUCUAGUCUUGCUACAUUACUAUCCGCUUAGAUUGUAAAUACUUAAAGGGACCGUUCACUUAUUUCGGUAAUUUCAUGGUAAACUAAUACGCCUAUUAGCUAUUCAUUGGUAUAUUAGUCUUACUUCUCAAAGAUAUCUAUGACCGGAGAAAAAGCCGAUUUAUUGUUUAAAAUACCAGUGGAAAGGUAUAAUACCUUAGCAUAGACACCAUUUAAACGUUUUUUCAGUAACAAGAGUUCAAUAAAUUCUAAAACUAUCAUGUGUUAAUGACAUCAUGUGUCAGCCAUUAUAUAUUAAAAUAUAAAAACUUUUGAUUUUAGAAUAAGCAAGAAAUUAACGUUUUUCGUGUUCAAACAUGUAGACGACUUUCUCUCAGACAAACUGGUUCCUAGAUUCCAACUCUUCAAUAAAUCACGGGGAUUUCUGGGGGAAGUAGGGAAAACGUAGCAAACCGUCAAAUGUUUAAAAUAAGUUUUAUUUUGAAACAGACAUAUUUAGAAUAAUUUUGAAAAAAAAUUUAAGGUAAUUAACUAUGAGAUACUAAAAAUCCAUUACUAAAACAAAAAGCAUCAAAGAGGGUAAAUGCAAAGGUAGCAUACCUUUGCGCUGGAAUUCUGAAUGAUAAAUCGGCUAUUUCUCAGCCCACAGUUUUCUUUGAAAAAAGUAAAAGUAAUACCAAUGAAUAGCUAAUAGGCGAUUUAGUUUACUCCCAAAUUACCCACAUAAGUGAACGGUCCCUUUAAAGAUAUUGACCCCCAUUAGACAAAUCUUCCCAAAGUAAAAAUAAGCAUUUUAUACUUUCAAACUCACUUGUCAUUGCUUACACCAAAU